UGUGACAGGAUCAUCAGGAUCUAUAGAUGGUGCAGCAGUGACCACUCACAUGAGAGACCCAAAUGUUUUCACAAUGACCGUGAGUGGACUAAGGUCAGAGGACAGUGGCUGGUAUUUGUGUGCUAAAGAGGACAUUGGGAGACUGACUACCUCUACCCACACUGUUGCUGGAAAUCUAACAUUUACCACAUUCGAAAAUAACCAACAUAGAUUUUGUACAGCUUCAUUUGACCCUAAGAGCCUCAU